rnacentral:rRNA from 1 species
UACGUAGGGUGCGAGCGUUAAUCGGAAUUAUUGGGCGUAAAGCGUGCGCAGGCGGCGCCAUAAGACAGCUGUGAAAUCCCCGGGCUUAACCUGGGAACUGCGGUUGUGACUGUGGUGCUAGAGUACGGCAGAGGGAGGUGGAAUUCCUGGUGUAGCAGUGAAAUGCGUAGAGAUCAGGAGGAACACCGAUGGCGAAGGCAGCCUCCUGGGCUGAUACUGACGCUCAUGCACGAAAGCGUGGGGAGCAAAC